rnacentral:rRNA from 1 species
GACGAACGCUGGCGGCGUGCUUAACACAUGCAAGUCGAACGGAAAGGCCCUGCUUUUGUGGGGUGCUCGAGUGGCGAACGGGUGAGUAACACGUGAGUAACCUGCCCUUGACUUUGGGAUAACUUCAGGAAACUGGGGCUAAUACCGGAUAGGAGCUCCUGCUGCAUGGUGGGGGUUGGAAAGUUUCGGCGGUUGGGGAUGGACUCGCGGCUUAUCAGCUUGUUGGUGGGGUAGUGGCUUACCAAGGCUUUGACGGGUAGCCGGCCUGAGAGGGUGACCGGCCACAUUGGGACUGAGAGACGGCCCAGACUCCUACGGGAGGCAGCAGUGGGGAAUAUUGAACAAUGGGCGGAAGCCUGAUGCAGCAACGCCGCGUGCGGGAUGACGGCCUUCGGGUUGUAAACCGCUUUCGCCUGUGACGAAGCGUGAGUGACGGUAAUGGGUAAAGAAGCACCGGCUAACUACGUG